rnacentral:rRNA from 1 species
CUCAUUAUGCAAGUCGAGCGGCAUCAUGAUCAUAGCUUGCUAGAUUGAUGGCGAGUGGCGAACGGGUGAGUAAUACAUCGGAACGUGCCCUGUAGUGGGGGAUAACUAGUCGAAAGAUUAGCUAAUACCGCAUACGAUCUGAGGGUGAAAGUGGGGGACCGCAAGGCCUCAUGCUAUAGGAGCGGCCGAUGUCUGAUUAGCUAGUUGGUGAGGUAAAGGCUCACCAAGGCGACGAUCAGUAGACUGGGCUGAGAGGACGAUCAGCCACACUGGGACUGAGACACGACUGAGACUCCUACGGGAGGCUGCAGUGGGGAAUUUUGGACAAUGUUCGAAAGUGUGAUCCAGCAAUGCCGCGUGUGUGAAGAAGGCCUUCGGAUUGUAAAGCACUUUUGUCCGGAAAGAAAUGGCUCUGGUUAAUACCUGGGGUCGAUGACGGAACCGGAACGAAUAAGGACCGGCUAACUACGUGCCAGCUAGCCGCGGUAAUACGUAGGGAUCCAAGCGUUAAUCGGAAUUACUGGGCGUAAAUGCGUGCGCAGGCGCGUGUGCAAGACCGAUGUGAAAUCCCCGAGCUUAACUUGGGAAUUGCAUUGGUGACUGCACGGACUAGAGUGUGUCAGAGGGGGGAUAGAAUUCCACGUGUAGCAGUGAAAUGCGGUAGAGAUGUGGAGGAAUACCGAUGGCGACGGCAGCCCCCGGGAUAUCACUGUGACGCUCAUGCACGAAAGCCGCGGGGAGCAAACAGGAUUAGAUACCCUGGUAGUCCACGCCCUACACGAUGUCAACUAUGUUGUUGGGGAUUGCAUUUCCUUACGAUCGUAGCUAACGCGUGAAGUUGACCGCCUGGGGAGUACGGUCGCAAGAUUAAAACUCAAAGGAAUUGACGGGGACCCGCACAGAGCGGUGGAUGAUGUGGAUUAAUUCGAUGCAACGCGAAAAACACUUACCUACCCUUGACAUGCCACUAACGAAGCAGAGAUGCAUUAGGUGCUCGAAAGAGAAAGUGGACACAGGUGCUGCAUGGCUG